UAGGGAAUCUUCCGCAAUGGGCGAAAGCCUGACGGAGCAACGCCGCGUGAGUGAUGAAGGUCUUCGGAUCGUAAAACUCUGUUAUUAGGGAAGAACAAAUGUGUAAGUAACUAUGCACGUCUUGACGGUACCUAAUCAGAAAGCCACGGCUAACUACGUGCCAGCAGCCGCGGUAAUACGUAGGUGGCAAGCGUUAUCCGGAAUUAUUGGGCGUAAAGCGCGCGUAGGCGGUUUUUUAAGUCUGAUGUGAAAGCCCACGGCUCAACCGUGGAAGGUCAUUGGAAACUGGAAAACUUGAGUGCAGAAGAGGAAAGUGGAAUUCCAUGUGUAGCGGUGAAAUGCGCAGAGAUAUGGAGGAACACCAGUGGCGAAGGCGACUUUCUGGUCUGUAACUGACGCUGACGUGCGAAAGCGUGGGGAUCAAACAGG
rnacentral:rRNA from 1 species